UACGAAGGGGCUAGCGUUGCUCGGAAUCACUGGGCGUAAAGCGCACGUAGGCGGAUCGUUAAGUCGGAGGUGAAAUCCUGGAGCUCAACUCCAGAACUGCCUUCGAUACUGGCGAUCUUGGAGUCCGGGAGAGGUGAGUGGAACUCCGAGUGUAGAGGUGAAAUUCGUAGAUAUUCGGAAGAACACCAGUGGCGAAGGCGGCUCACUGGCCCGGUACUGACGCUGAGGUGGCGAAAGCGGUGG
rnacentral:rRNA from 1 species